ACGACUUGCCGAAAAUGGCAAAGU
rnacentral:snRNA from 1 species